UGUUUGUCGAUGAGCAAAGCAGAUACGUGCACGAGAACUGGAAAGUGUUGAAUGGGUGGUUUGUCCUUCAGGGUAACCCUGGGUGUACCCAGACGUGUCAGUCGCUGCGAAAUAAUUUCCGCGUCGAGGCCGUCUGGCUCCUCCCUGCCGGUGUGUGGCAACGGCGCUCUCCUCACAGCGAGCUGUUUUUGCGAGAGACAACGCGCUUUGAUGUGGAUGACGGAGGUGAGGCGUCCCUGUCCCCAGAUGCCCAGACGGUGCGGUUAAGGGGGCUUUAUCGCACUGCAGACAGGAGACCAGCACUCACCCACAGCCGCCCCAUCUUUCACCGCGGCCCGAAGGCCGAAUGUGACAACCGAUGCUCCCCAGCUGCUGCGGGUGGGGGGAGGGGGGGCAGGCCCCCAAAACCACAGACGAAUAAUGAAUGCCACACCAUCGUGACAACUUGCACUUUUAUGGAGAGGGGAGGAAGGACAUCUCUGGCACGGACGCUCGCAGCACACGAUGAAACUUCCUCCAUAAACGACGCAGACUAUCAAAAGGAGGGCCGGGAAGCAGCCGUGGAAUCUGUAACUGAUUUAUGACCCUUGCCAAAAAAGGACUGAUUCCCAAGUAAAUGUGCUUGGAGUUGGAUUGCGGGAAAGCCGAGAAGAGAUCCCUUUCCAAACGCAACCACGACAUGUGUAAAUGAUGCAUCAGGCCAUCGUCAAAAAAUAUCCCCCAAAAAUAAGGAGACUUGAGGUUUUCCAAUUGGGUCGGGACUUGCUAUUCUCAGUUUCCCUUGUUCUCCCACGUCAUGUUGUUUUGUUUUCUAUACAUCACAGAAAUUACUCUGCAUACCCCCUCUGCUUUCAAGGCAGAUGUUACUGGAACAGCAGCAGCUUUGAUCUUCUUCCAG
ensembl:lncRNA